AACGAACGCUGGCGGCAUGCCUAACACAUGCAAGUCGAACGAGACCUUCGGGUCUAGUGGCGCACGGGUGCGUAACGCGUGGGAACCUGCCCUUAGGUUCGGAAUAACUCCCCGAAAGGGGUGCUAAUACCGGAUAAUGUCUUCGGACCAAAGAUUUAUCGCCUUUGGAUGGGCCCGCGUUGGAUUAGCUAGUUGGUAGGGUAAAAGCCUACCAAGGCGACGAUCCAUAGCUGGUCUGAGAGGAUGAUCAGCCACACUGGGAAUGAGACACGGCCCAGACUCCUACGGGAGGGAGCAGUGGGGAAUAUUGGACAAGGGGCGAAAGUCUGACCAAGCAAUGCCGCGUGAGUGAUGAAGGCCUUAGGGUUGUAAAGCUCUUUUACACGGGAUGAUAAUGACAGUACCGGGAGAAUAAGCUCCGGCUAACUCCGUG
rnacentral:rRNA from 1 species